ensembl:snRNA
ACCAUCCUUUCCUUGGGGUUGCACUACUGUCUAAUGAGUGCAUAAUGAGGGGCAGUACUGCUCAUGCCUAUACAUCGCAUCUGUGUCCACUGGAACUUCGCUUUACCUUGGUACAAUUUUUGGAAAA